UACGUAGGGUGCAAGCGUUGUCCGGAAUUAUUGGGCGUAAAGAGCUCGUAGGCGGUUUGUCGCGUCUGCUGUGAAAACUCGGGGCUUAACUCCGGGCCUGCAGUGGGUACGGGCAGACUAGAGUGCGGUAGGGGGAGACUGGAAUUCCUGGUGUAGCGGUGAAAUGCGCAGAUAUCAGGAGGAACACCGGUGGCGAAGGCGGUUCUCUGGGCAUUACCUGACGCUGAGGAGCGAAAGUGUGGGGAGCGAACAGG
rnacentral:rRNA from 1 species